rnacentral:rRNA from 1 species
CCUACGGGAGGCUGCAGUGAGGAAUAUUGGUCAAUGGACGAGAGUCUGAACCAGCCAAGUAGCGUGAAGGAUGACUGCCCUAUGGGUUGUAAACUUCUUUUAUAUGGGAAUAAAAUGUUCCACGUGUGGGUUUUUGUAUGUACCUUAUGAAUAAGGAUCGGCUAACUCCUUGCCAGCAGCCGCGGUAAUACGGAGGAUCCGAGCGUUAUCCGGAUUUAGUGGGUUUAAAGGGAGCGUAGGUGGGUUGUUAAGUCAGUUGUGAAAGUUUGCGGCUCAACCGUAAAAUUGCAGUUGAUACUGGCAGUCUUGAGUACAGUAGAGGUGGGCGGAAUUCGUGGUGUAGCGGUGAAAUGCAUAGAGAUCACGAAGAACACCGAUUGCGAAGGCAGCUCACUGGACUGCAACUGACACUGAGGCUCGAAAGUGUGGGUAUCAAACAGGAUUAGAUACCCUAGUAGUC